UUUUUUUUUUAGAAAGAGUUUGAUAUUUCUCCAUUAAUAAAAACCUAAUAUAUCCCAGUGUUACAGUUGGGAAGUCAUUUUUUUGUUAACUUGCACAAUAAAACAUGAAUGCACCUAACUUCAAAUGAGUCUGUGCUUUCAGCUGUAAAGCAGCAUAUAUAAUAAGUAUCUGACAAACAUUGGUUUAAUAUUGUGAAAGGAUCAGGAGAAUGUAAGUAGGGAUGGGAAUUGAUGACAUUUUAUCGAUGUUGAUGCCAUGAUCGAUUCGGAUUAUCGGUCCGAUUCUUUAUCGAUUCCCUUACUGAUUCCUGAAAAAUGAGCUAAACAGAUUUCAUACCUGUGAGAGACCUGUAGGUAGUUGAGCAAAACCAGAAAACACCUCUACAGGUGUACUGGGCACAAUUCCAG